rnacentral:rRNA from 1 species
AACGAACGCUGGCGGCAGGCCUAACACAUGCAAGUCGAGCGCACCUUCGGGUGAGCGGCGGACGGGUUAGUAACGCGUGGGAAUAUGCCCUUCUCUAAGGAAUAGCCUCUGGAAACGGAGAGUAAUACCUUAUACGCCCUUCGGGGGAAAGAUUUAUCGGAGAAGGAUUAGCCCGCGUAAGAUUAGAUAGUUGGUGGGGUAAUGGCCUACCAAGUCUACGAUCUUUAGCUGGUUUGAGAGGAUGAUCAGCAACACUGGGACUGAGACACGGCCCAGACUCCUACGGGAGGCAGCAGUGGGGAAUCUUAGACAAUGGGCGCAAGCCUGAUCUAGCCAUGCCGCGUGAGUGACGAAGGCCUUAGGGUCGUAAAGCUCUUUCGCCAGAGAUGAUAAUGACAGUAUCUGGUAAAGAAACCCCGGCUAACUCCG